GACGAACCGGACAAACGUUAUUCGGAAUUACUGGGCUUAAAGGGUACGUAGGCGGUCCGGUAAGUGGGGUGUGAAAUCCCUCGGCUCAACCGAGGAACUGCGCCCCCAUACUGCCGGACUUGAGGGAGACAGAGGUCAGCGGAACUGAUGGUGGAGCGGUGAAAUGCGUUGAUAUCAUCAGGAACACCGGUGGCGAAAGCGGCUGACUGGGUCUCUUCUGACGCUGAGGUACGAAAGCUAGGGGAGCGAACGGG
rnacentral:rRNA from 1 species